UAUUGCGGCGGUUGUAAUUAUGGCGAAAACCGCGACAAACAUAAGAACGCUUUGAAAUACAUCUGUUAUCAAGACAGCCUUGAUUCCGCCUAUGCUGGAGUAGAAGGCGCAGACCAAACCGAUUACGAUUAUACUUCCGGUUUUCGAAAGACUCGUCGUAGCUUCCAGGGCUAAUGCUGGGGCGUAAAGAACAACCCCUGUGUAAAGAAGAAGUUGGAUCCAGUAUACGAAACUUGUUACCAGUCGGGCGCCCAUUCCAAAUCGUUUUUCCAGGUAUAAUUUUCGGCGGAAACACCUAGAAGGGUAAUGGCGGACAUAAAGGAGGCCAUCAAAGCUAUUCCCACGGGAAGAAUGCUCAUCGAUCUGUUCGCAAUGAAGUAUUCCUGUGGAUGAAGAGAACGAUUAUCACAAUAUAUCGAGGAAUCCCAUGGAAGUACGGAACUCGCCAUGGUAUGCGACAACGAGCAGGAAUUUCUCAUCACCCGCAUCGGUGCGAGAAUGAAAGGUCAUAAUAAAAUACGGUGAUUCUGGUGGUAGUCUCUACAACGAUCUUAUCUCGAGGUGCUUUCUUAUCAACGGUAGACCUAUACCGCUCAAAUUAAUUACUCUCGUGACAUUAUAUUUGCAGACAUUGUACAGCAAUAUGUUUUAUCAAUUAAACACCCAUGCGGGUACUGAAGUAA